rnacentral:rRNA from 1 species
CCAGCACCUGCGGUAAUUCCAGCUCCAAUAGCGUAUAUUAAAGUUGUUGCAGUUAAAAAGCUCGUAGUCGGACUUCUGGCCGUGUCGGACGGUCCGCCGCAAGGUGUGCACUGUUCGGGGCGGCCACCCUCUUGAGGACCGCGUGUGCCCUUCACUGGGUGGGCGCGGGACUCAGGACCUUUACUUUGAAAAAAUUAGAGUGUUCAAAGCAGGCUUACGCUUGAAUACAUUAGCAUGGAAUAAUGGAAUAGGACUUUGGUUCUAUUUUGUUGGUUCUAGGACCGAAGUAAUGAUUAAUAGGGACAGUUGGGGCCGUUUAUAUUCCGUUGUCAGAGGUGAAAUUCUUGGAUUUACGGAAGAUAAACUUCUGCGAAAGCAUUCGGCAAGGAUGUUUUCA